AAGACUUUAAGUUAAAAAAACUGUGUACCUUCAAAGUAUGAUAUAAUUUAUAUUAAGUCUUA
rnacentral:tRNA from 1 species